rfam:Epulopiscium sp. Nuni2H_MBin003 Nuni2HMBin003_2, whole genome shotgun sequence.
CCUUUGGAGUGUUAUAUCAAAUGACGGUAGCAAGCAAUAUAGCGAAAUCAGACACGAUGAAUAAGGAA